GUAGGUGGCAAGCGUUGUCCGGAAUUAUUGGGCGUAAAGCGCGCGCAGGUGGUUCUUUAAGUCUGAUGUGAAAGCCCCCGGCUCAACCGGGGAGGGUCAUUGGAAACUGGGGAACUUGAGUGCAGGAGAGGAAAGUGGAAUUCCACGUGUAGCGGUGAAAUGCGUAGAUAUGUGGAGGAACACCAGUGGCGAAGGCGACUUUCUGGCCUGUAACUGACACUGAGGCGCGAAAGCGUGGGGAGCAAACAGGGAUUAGAUACCCUGGUAGUCCACGCCGUAAACGAUGAGUGCUAAGUGUUGGGGGGGUUUCCCGCCCCUCAGUGCUGCAGCUAACGCAUUAAGCACUCCGCCUGGGGAUACGGUCGCAAGACUA
rnacentral:rRNA from 1 species